ensembl:lncRNA
UUCUUAGUAAACCACUCCUCAAUCUCUGCCUCUGGAGUGAGUUUCCUCCCCUUGGCUAAUUCUGUGAAAUUCAAGCAAGCCCCCCCCCCCCCCCUUGUACAUGUACAGGGGGCUCCCCUAUACAACCCGCCUGUACAGGGACCAUCCUAGGGUCUCUGCCUCCACUCAUUACAAAGCUUACAUUCCCAAGCACAUUAUAGCCUCACUCUUGGGAUGCCGCACGAGAUUUUACCUUUGAGGUUCUCGGAAUUCUCAAGAUACCUCCCCAGGUGGGACCCCCCUCCCAAGGGGUGUACUCCCACACCGAUCACGAUCACCCAACCUAUACCUGUGGAUUCACCCUUGGGGGAGCACCCUCACUCCAUCACCGUGUGAAGGUUUUGUCCAAAGUCUCCCACAGAUCCUUUCAUGGAAUCAACAUGGAAAAAACUGUCACGAGAACAUGAGUUCUUUCUCCAGGCAUGAAAAUGAAAGAGCUACCUGGAUAUCAUCUGAGUACUAAAAGCACAGAACUUCCAGAUGAUUUCACGGCAGAUAUUUCCACCAGGUAAUCAGGUCACACAGAAUAUUGCAAAUACCAAUCAGAUGUUCAACUCUUCCAGAGUUUCUAGAGGAAUCAGAAUUCCCUCACAGAUGCCAUCUACAUCCUGCCUACAAUGUGGCCAAAAGCCAUUUUGGAUUUCAAAGGUUUUCCCACCAAACUUCCACCUUCACAACAUGAUCACUACAUAAUGAGGUGGAAAAACCCAUUUUACCCAGUGCAUUCUAGAGAAUGAAGUGAAAAACCCCGCAGGUUUUUGGGGUGAAUCAGAAGAGAGAAUAAACUGAAAGCUGCCAUCUCAAAGUGAAAACCUCAGAUUUGCUGCCAUCAAAAACUCGGAGAAAGAUAAAAGGUGGAUUUGUCUUCAUGGCAUUUCACCUUCUUUAGCAACUGGUUCCUUUUCUGAGACAUUUGCACCUUUCUUGAAAACUUUGCCCUGCACUUACUUACCAUAAGUAAAUAGACUCAGUUAAAAUCAUGGAGAGAAAGUGGAGUAGAGCAGGGUAAGAGCCAAAAUGAAGGCUACAUUGGGAUUCCUUCCAAAGGGUGUCCAAAAGCUACUUACAUCUUUAUUGACUCUCCCAGAAAUUUUCUACUCUGGACUUCAAAUAUUUUGUUAUAGAAAUAACUUAUUCUAGAAAUCUAACAGGGCAGAACAAGCUAUCACUAAGUCUGUGAAUACCACUGCUGCAUAUGAGCUUUAUCUCACUUUUAUUCUUAGAUCACCACUGUUGUAGUAAUCCUAUUAGCAUCCUUUGCAAGCUGACAGCUCUGUCAGUGCCUAUGUACACAUUUUGGUAUUUCUCUGACCAAAAAUAUCUGAAAUCUCCUCAGACAUCAUUAUAAUCGAUGUUCAUUUUAGAGGACAGGAUGUUUUGUCAAUAACUUUGUGGUACAUUCUUGCCAGCGUUGAAAUCCAACUCUGCCAAGUAAAAUCUGUCAUUUAAAGGGCUACAUGAUGCUUCGCAGGAGGGGCUUGGCAAGGUUUGCCUUUUGUUCUACAGACAAAUUCCAAAGCUCCUGAAAUUUAUUAAGAUUCACAACUGAUACGCUGACCACUUAAAGGGGGCAUCAGAGAAGGUGCAAAGAUCAGAUUUAAAACCUAUUUAAAUAAAGUUCACUGAUGUUAGGUCAAGGAUUUGGAUUUUGCACAGUGUGUUCAGAAUAUAUUCAGAGUAGUUCUGCAAAUUCCAACUGACGAAACAGUAAGUGUCUAAAGAACGGUACUGAAAUAAGUCAAAAGCUGGAAGUAUACUAGCAUAUACCAAUGCUUUAUCAGUAACAUAGACGAUGGCAUUGAGUGCACCCUCAGCAAGUUUGCAGAUGACACCAAGCUGAGCGGUGCAGUCAAUACGUUGGAAAGAAGGGAAGCCAUCCAGAGGGACCUGGACAGGCUGGAGAAGUGGACCCAUGAAAACCAAAUGAGGUUCAAUAAGGCCAAGUGCAGGGUGCUGCACUUGGGUUGGGGCAAUCCCAAGUAUUUAUACAAACUGGGGGAAGAUCUCCUUGAGAGCAGCCCUGUGGAGAAGGACUUGAGGGUCCUGGGAGAUGAGAAGCUGGACAUGAGCCAGCAGCGUGCACUUGCAGCCCGGAAGGCCAACUGUGUUCUGGGCUGCAUUAAAAAAGGGGUGGCCAGCAGGGAGAGGGAGGUGAUUGUCCCCCUCUACUCAGCUCUUGUGUGGCCCCAUCUGGAGUACUGCAUCCAGGCCUGGGGCCCCCAGUACAGGAAGGACGUGGAGCUCUUGGAGCAGGUCCAGAGGAGGGCCACUAAGAUUAUCAGAGGGCUGCAGCACCUCUCCUAUGAGGAAAGGUUGAGGGAACUGGGCUUGUUUAGUUUGGAGAAGAGAAGGCUCUGGGAAGACCUCAUUGUGGCCUUCCAGUAUUUGAAAGGAGCAUAUAAACAGGAGGAGGAAGGGCUGUUUGCAAGGGUGGAUAGUGAUAGGACAAGGGGGAAUGGUUUUAAACUGAGACAGGGGAGGUUUAGGUUGGAUAUUAGGAAGAAGUUUUUCACCCAGAGGGUGGUGACACACUGGAACAGGUUGCCCAAGGAGCUUGUAGAUGCCCCAUCCCUGAAGGCAUUCAAGGCCGGGCUGGAUGUGGCUCUGGGCAGCCUGGUCUAGUGGUGGGCGACCCUGCACAUAGCAGGGAGGUUGAAACUCAAUGAUCGUUAUGGUCCUUUUCAACCCAGGCCAUUCUAUGAUAUAUAUGACAAAGGUAAAAUUGCUCUUCUAUUGUUGUAUGUCUGUGAUGAUUUUGAAGACAGACACAGCAUCAACAAGCAGGACAACAGGUUAAGAAGGAGACAGAAUUGAAGAUAGACUUCCUUCACAUUUUAUUUUUUUCUCCCUCAUUUAUCAAGACAGGAUGUCCAGAUUUUAGAGAAAGGAGAGCAGCAAGUGGCUCUGCAGGGACAAAUGGGACAGACAGAUACCUCUGGCAACUGGCCCAAAGCAGAGGUUGGACCCUGUCUUUCUCCCUCCCAUCCAUUUCGUUUUGAAAGCUGCAAGAUUCUAGGGCUGUUUCCUGGUAGGCAGACAUACAGAAAAUGCUGUGUCUUCUAUGGAAAGGCAUCUGCUGCUAAAAUCAUGGACAAGACAAUAGUUCAGGGGCCCACAUUACAUCCAGACAUCACAGCCUCAAUAAGUGUCCUGAUGCUUCAGGAUGCAUACCUACUUCUUCAGGUUCAGAUUAUUCAGAUUGGAUAUUAGGAAAAACUUCUUCUCACAAAGAGUGGUGGUGCACUGGCACAGGCUGCCCAGGGAGGUGAUGGAGUCACCAUCCCUGAGGUGUUCAAGAGCUGUGUAGAUGUGGCACUGAGGGACAUGGUUAGUGGAGAUGGUGGGGAUGGGUCACUGGUUGGACUGGGUGAUCUUAGAGGUUUUUUCUGACCUUGAUAAUUCUAUGAGUCUUCAUUUGGCACAUUUAACCCUGUACUCUUUUAAAUACAUGCAUGCAAGAAACCCUAAGAAAAAUCACCGUUGCUAUUUCUGAUCCAGAUGUGUGAAAGUCACUUAAUAUUUUCAAAGGAAAAAAAAAAGCUUAAAAAAAGCGGUUUACAGAACAUAGAGUGAGUACAUUUUUGCUGUACAAAGUAUUUUAUUUACCAGACAUUUCUGAGCAUAAGGAGUGAAAGUACAGUUUUUACUGAUUACCCCUUGUGCAGUGAACUAAAUUGAUGGCCUCUUCUUCAAACAUCACUGUUUUGGCUCUGAAUACUAAGUAAUUCCUGUAAGCAAUACAAAAAUCCCUGCUGAGGCAGAAAGAUUUUAGAAUAAAUUACUUCAUUCAGUUCUGAAUCAUUGUCUAUGUAGCCAUGUAAAAUCAAGACAGAGACAUUUGCAGGUGUCAAGUCAGGUUCUGUAUCUCAUAAUGUACUUUGAAUAAAAUGCCAACAAGCUAUUCUGGGACGUUCAUACAGUGAUGACCAAAAACUACUCUCUCUUAAAUAAAAUAAUAAUAAAAUGAACAAAAUCUAAGAUGUUGGAGUGCCCAGAACAAUGCUCUUUUGCAAGCAGUCUGACAAGUCCUCCAGUAGAAUUGCCUGCAGGAUGACAACUAAUGAAGUUUGGUUCUAGAAUUAUAAACAUUUUACAGAUGGCUGAGGACAGUGUGAAUCAAGGCCAUGCUACCAGCUGAAACCUCUGGGCCACAUUAAUUACUGUUUGCCAUUUGCAUUUGCUCCAUGCUUAAGGUAUAAAGUUUAGAUUGUCCCUUCUCUACAUGAAUGCUCUGACCCUCCACGAUGAAAUAACUUAGCAAAUUUCAGGACUGCAUUAACUGAUGAUUAGUUGGGUGGUAAGUCAAUUAAGCGUGCCUCAUUUUCAUUACCAGAUACGGCUAAGUACUCCAUUUAUUCAUUAAGCAGGCUGCCAAGGUCAUUAUAGGUAUUCUGAAUGUAGUCUUCCAUAGUGGGAGAUUAAAAAUCUUGUGUCUUUGUUUAAUGGGGAAAAAGAAAAACCAACCAACCAACCAAACAAAAAAAACCCACACCUAACAAACACUGGGAUUCUCUAUUAGUUUUACAUAGCAUAAUUUUCUUUGAGUUUUCUUUGAUUAUCUUACAUUAUGUUUUAGAACUCUACAUAAUUUUUACUACUCUGAUUAAAUAUUACUCUGUAAAUAUUAA